rnacentral:rRNA from 1 species
UGGGGAAUUGUUCGCAAUGGGCGCAAGCCUGACGACGCAACGCCGCGUGGAGGAUGAAGGUCUUCGGAUUGUAAACUCCUGUUGACCGGGAAGAAUGGACGCCGACUGAACACGUCGGCGUAAUGACGGUACCGGUUGAGGAAGCCACGGCUAACUCUGUGCCAGCAGCCGCGGUAAUACAGAGGUGGCAAGCGUUGUUCGGAAUUACUGGGCGUAAAGGGCGCGUAGGCGGCCGCCUAAGUCAGACGUGAAAUCCCCAAGCUUAACUCGGGAACUGCGUCUGAUACUGGGUGGCUUGAGUUCGGGAGAGGAAUGUGGAAUUCCAGGUGUAGCGGUGAAAUGCGUAGAUAUCUGGAGGAACACCGGUGGCGAAGGCGGCAUUCUGGACCGAAACUGACGCUGAUGCGCGAAAGCCAGGGGAGCAAACGGGAUUAGAUACCCCGGUAGUCCUGGCCCUAAACGAUGAGUGCUUGGUGUGGCGGGUAUCGAUCCCUGCCGUGCCGAAGCUAACGCAUUAAGCACUCCGCCUGGGGAGUACGGUCGCAAGGCUGA